UUAAUUAAAAGGAAUGCUAGAAUUUUAUUUGUUAUUCAAAAUUAAUUUUAAAGGUAUUGGCGGUAUUUAGUUAUAUUCUGAGGAACUUGUUUUACUAAGUUGACAUUACUCAUUAAAUUUUACCUACAAUUAUAUUUUAUGUAUUGCUGUUCAAUUAAUUGUUUAUUUAUUGAGAAAUUAAUUAAAGUUAUAUUUAUAAAUAUAAAGAGAUCAAGUCAAAAUGUAGAUUUUUGUAGGUUAAAAUGAGUUACAAUUAUAAUGAAUUAUGAAACUGUAAAGUUAUUUGUAAUAAUUUAAAUGAUGAAGGUUGGAUUAGGGAGUAAAAAAGAAUUAAUUAGUUUUUUUGAUAAAAUCUUACUAAUAUGU
rnacentral:rRNA from 1 species